AUGUGAUCUUUCGUGACUCACACUGUUAAUGGAAAAAACUACAGUGGUUGUGAUUUCAAGGGAAAAGUACAACCAACCACAACAAGAUCUUUGAACAUCAGACAUUUCCAAAAAAGGAACAUAAUUUCAUUAGUUGAGCUAAUCUCUCUGAGACAGCCACGAAAAUCCUAAAUCUCCAAAAUCGCUUAGCAACUGCGCAGAGUUGAAUGUCGUCAUUUCCAUCUACAGUUUACACUUCCGUUGCAAUGUCAUCGAAUUGAGUUCAAUAAUAAGUACGGAAUAUGGUAAUGGAUAAUGGUAGUUGAUAGCUGAUACAUGUUGUUGGGGAUUGCAUCAUGUGCUUAAAAGGAUAUCUUUUAAAAUUUCUGUUUUACAAAAAUACUGUUGAUGCCAACUCGCCUUUCUCAGUUAAAUUUUCGCUUUCUCAAGAAGGUAGGAGUGGGUGCUCGUGAUUACGUAGUAUAUGUGCACCUACAGGUAGGUACCCAUCAAGAUACUCACGAACCUAACAUAGAGGCAAACAUGUACAAUAACAAACUGGUUUUGUCUACCACAGCAAUCGACAGACAACGAUGUUGCAAACAGCAAAAGUAGCCGACCAUUAUUAGACCUUCUCUGGAAAUUUUGCAAUAAUCAGCUCUCUAUCAGAGUUAAGCAUUUGCAGACACCUUGGAAAACAAAGGAUUAACUCCAAUUUUUGUAUAUCGCAUGAGCGUGUAUUCCUGAAGAUCCUGACGUAGGUUGUUACUAGAAUGCUUCCUGUGUCCUCUGUGGGGGCAGCCAACUCGGACAUUUGUCCGGGCCGCCAAAAUUUGCCAGUGGUGUUUUGGCGUAAGUGAAAAGAUAUUUAUAUCUCCAACAGCUAAAU
rnacentral:misc_RNA from 1 species